rnacentral:rRNA from 1 species
GUGGAUUAGUGGCGAACGGGUGAGUAACACGUGGGCAAUCUGCCCUUCACUCUGGGACAAGCCCUGGAAACGGGGUCUAAUACCGGAUAACACCCUCCAUCUCAUGGUGGGGGGUUAAAAGCUCCGGCGGUGAAGGAUGAGCCCGCGGCCUAUCAGCUUGUUGGUGGGGUAAUGGCCUACCAAGGCGACGACGGGUAGCCGGCCUGAGAGGGCGACCGGCCACACUGGGACUGAGACACGGCCCAGACUCCUACGGGAGGCAGCAGUGGGGAAUAUUGCACAAUGGGCGAAAGCCUGAUGCAGCGACGCCGCGUGAGGGAUGACGGCCUUCGGGUUGUAAACCUCUUUCAGCAGGGAAGAAGCGAAGGUGACGGUACCUG